UACAGAGGUGGCAAGCGUUGUUCGGAAUUACUGGGCGUAAAGGGCGCGUAGGCGGUUCGUUAAGUCCUGUGUGAAAUCCCCCGGCUCAACUGGGGAACUGCACAGGAAACUAGCGGGCUUGAGUUCGGGAGAGGGAAGCGGAAUUCCGGGUGUAGCGGUGAAAUGCGUAGAUAUCCGGAGGAACACCGGUGGCGAAGGCGGCUUCCUGGACCGACACUGACGCUGAGGCGCGAAAGCUAGGGGAGCAAGCGGG
rnacentral:rRNA from 1 species